AAGAUCAUACUUUCAGGGAUCAUUUCUAUAGUCUUUGACUUGAGAAAUAUCGUAUGAAAGUGAUCGGUUACUCUAACCACGAUGAAGAGAACUGAUGUUUCCUGCUGAGCGCGAAGCGGGCAGUGAGUGAUGAUGCAUUUCAUCCGCUCCUUGUCAUUGAUCCGUGUUUCCAUGCUCUCUAGUGGAGCCUAGAUUUAGGCGGCAUGAUCAGAGUGGU
ensembl:snoRNA U3 Small nucleolar RNA U3